AUGGAGUCAGUACAAUUCAAUAUAGUAUGUAGUCAGUGUAGUUGAGUAUAGUAUAGUAGUCAAUAUACAUUAGAAGUUAGUUGAGUACAGCAUGCAUCAGAAGAGAGUGUUAGUGUGUAUGCAACAGAGAAGAGACUGAAAUAGGAUGCUUAAAGAACAGACUGUUUAAACUUUGAACUAAUAAGCAAUGCACCUGUAUGCUGAAUACAUGAAGUUUUUCAGUCGCUUCUGGCUCAUCAUGACCUCAUGGAUCAGCCCACGCCAGAUCUCCUGUCGCCACCCCAGCUCCUUCAA
rnacentral:lncRNA from 11 species